UACGUAGGGGGCAAGCGUUGUCCGGAUUUAUUGGGUUUAAAGGGUGCGUAGGUGGUCUAUUAAGUCAGUGCUGAAAUAUCCCGGCUUAACCGGGAGGGUGGCAUUGAUACUGAUGGACUUGAGUAAAGUUGAGGUAGGCGGAAUUGACGGUGUAGCGGUGAAAUGCUUAGAUAUCGUCAAGAACACCAGUGGCGAAGGCGGCUCACUGGCCCGAUACUGACGCUGAGGCACGAAAGCGUGGGGAGCAAACAGG
rnacentral:rRNA from 1 species